UCAGGAGUCUGAACUGGGGCGAGGACGGUGGGUUCAGUUUUCCAAUAUAAUCCGCCUCCCCAGCCCUGCAGCUCCUCAGCGCCGCGGAGAGCCCCCUGCGCGGCUCGCGGACGGGCUCUGCCUGCAGACGUGUCCCUCUCUCCCGCACAAGUUGCACUAACUUGGGGAAAGAGGGAGCUGCGGGAAAGCGCCCGCGAGGUUUCCGAGGAGAAUGCAGUUUACCUGUGGUUAGAUUGUCAUUGAUCUUCAAAGGCACCCUCAGGAUGUAGACCAGGAAAAGCAUGAUGAAGAACCACAGGGUCCAGAGAACCAAGAGGGAAUUUCACCUGGGGCACUCAUUUCUCAGGUCAACUGUAGGUGGUCUGCCAACCAAUGAACCCCCCAACAUAACUUCAGUGUGCUUUAAAGCAGCAUACAACUCCUGGAACAAGGAGCAUAUUCCUCUCAUCCUAUGCCCUCAAGAGAAAAUAGCCUAAAGCUGCAUCCAGCCUUCUUUGACCAGACAUCAAUCCUUUUGAUACAGGAGGCAAGAGAGGGGGAAAAAAAGAAAGAAAGAAAGAAAGAAAGAAAGAAAACACCGAACACAAAAAAACAAGCAACCCUGUGCUCUACAACACACAAAAUAGGAAAGC